rfam:Salmonella enterica subsp. enterica serovar Macclesfield str. S-1643 chromosome, complete genome.
GUCAUACUACGGCGCAACGCCCUAAAAAGUAAACGAUGACCCAUAGGGAACUCCAGGGUAAAAUGGUUAUCAAAGAGGAAAUUGUAGCUGACCUGGGACUGCGCGCCCGGGUUGGUGUUUUUU